CACGUAGGGCGCGAGCGUUGUCCGGAAUUAUUGGGCGUAAAGAGCUCGUAGGCGGCCUGUUGCGUCCGCUGUGAAAGCCCCGGGGCUAACCCCGGGUCGGCAGUGGAUACGGGCAGGCUAGAGGUAGGUAGGGGAGAAUGGAAUUCCCGGUGUAGCGGUGAAAUGCGCAGAUAUCGGGGAGGAACACCGGUGGCGAAGGCGGUUCUCUGGGCCUUACCUGACGCUGAGGAGCGAAAAGCGUGGGGGAGCGAACAGG
rnacentral:rRNA from 1 species